rnacentral:tRNA from 1 species
GCGCUGAUAGUUCAGUGGUAGAAUGUCUGCCUUCCAAGCAGACGACUCGGGUUCGAAUCCCGAUCGGCGCA